rnacentral:lncRNA from 10 species
AUUUUCCCACGGAGUAAGAACCAGAACGCCAGCUGCCCCAGCGGCGCUCGCACCAUCCACCCUUGAAAUUGCCGUAGAAGAGACAGAAACUGAAAACCAUGGUUUCAGGCUGCUAAAAACCUAACAUGAAACAAAACAGAAGAACAACAACAACAAAAUAAGGUUGCUGACCAGAACUCAACAGUGAGGGAAUUUACCUCCUGCUUCAUGCAUGCAACAUCAAAAUAAGAUGCCCUGCCCAGAGAGGAGAAAUCUGGCAGUCUGGCUGCAAGGGCCUUGCUGAGCUGCAGUGGGCUCCACCCAG